AGAACUUUCACUUUUUCACCCAAAGGAAGAUUCUGUGGCUUACCCUUGGCAUAUUCAAAUUGCCAGCAUCACUACUCUUGUGCUUUGGGACCAUUAUUAGUAAUAUGAGGUUUCCUUGAGCACAAGCACUGUGAUACUUCGACAGUGAAUCUGAUAGCUGACGUAGCUAUUAGGUUCUAUUUGACAAGCAAAAUGAAGAAAUGUUACUUAGAGAAAAGAAUGGAAUGGUAACUUCAACUUUGAAACAUCAUACAUUGGAAAAGGCUCCGUUGCUGAACUCUGACCUUGCUACCCACAACCCAUUGGAGAGCUGUGCUUCAUGGCUGCCACUGAUGAUAAAACCCAGGGACACCCUGAUACUCUUACAGCCACCGUGGAGUCUCCCAACCUGCCAAAUGCUCCUAGACCUGAUAGCAGCCAAGUCUUGUGCCAUCUCUCCUGUUUUGUUGGUAUGAAGAAAGCCCCCCAUUCAUCUGGAUCACCUGGACAGUGCUGCACUUGCCUUUGUGACACG